AAUGAUGAUAAAGUCUGAAAUUGGGCCUUUCCCGAGCCCAAUACUGAGAGUCAUAUCUGAGCACAGAUAUGUGACCCGUCCAUUCUUUAUUAUAGUGGGUGAUUGACCCGACCCGAGUGUGUAAAUAUAAAUAUCUGGGUCACCGACAUUAGUGACCCCCGGACUUCAUUUUCCCUUUUAUGGUUUCUCGGUUAAUGCAAUUCUCUCUCUGACAUUCGAGAGACUUCUCACCUACUCUCCUCCUUCUCUCUACUUUCUCUCUCUAUAAUUUAUAUGAUUCUCUCGUUUAAUCUUGAUGUUAACAAACAUAUGAGAAUUUAACAGCAACGUUCUAUUAGAAUUAAGGAUAAAUAGCAAAUGAAAACAAUGAAGAUACAUGGGCGUACCUUUGCAACGAUCAAACUUCACGGUGCCAUCUCGGUAAAAGCACAAGAGAUCUGAGUUGAAUGGUUGAAACCACACCGCUAGUGUGAGUCCUCACACUGGCGGCACUCCGUCGGGCUCCGCCAGUCCAGCACAAAACCCUCACCCAUGGCCCCACCAAAUCCUCUGCUCCAUUGUCUAGAAGCUUCCCCUAUCCCUCACCGUCGCCGCCACUUUCUCCUCACAAAUCCCAAACCAGUUUAAAUCUUCCGGCUCACUAUGUGUUUGCGGUUGGAACCAAUACUUUUAGGUAUAAAGAAAACUAUAGAACGAAUAAAAAUUUAGUGACCUAAAAAACUGCAAGAACAUGAAAUCAUGGUUGGUGAUUCAUUAUGAUUUUAUACUACUAAGGCAACUAAGAAAAAAGAUCAUUUAAUUUAAUGUUAUUAUUUUAAUAUUAAAGCGCAAUCC
rnacentral:lncRNA from 1 species